rnacentral:rRNA from 1 species
ACAGAGGUCCCAAGCGUUGUUCGGAUUUACUGGGCAUAAAGGGUGCGUAGGUUGUCAGGCAAGUCUGACGUGAAAUCUCCAAGCCUAACUUGGAAAAUGCGUUGGAAACUGCUUGGCUAGAGGAAUGGAGGGGAGACUGGAAUACUUGGUGGAGCAGUGAAAUGCGUAGUGAUCAAGUGGAACACCAGUGGCGAAUGCGAGUCCCUGGACAUUUCCUGACGCUGAAGCACGAAAGCCAGGUGAGCAAAAGG